rnacentral:tRNA from 1 species
GGGGUUGUAGCUUAGUGAUAAAGCACUUGCCUCACAUGUAUGAGGCACUGGGUUCAAUUCUCAGCACCACA